UAGGGAAUAUUGCACAAUGGGCGAAAGCCUGAUGCAGCAACGCCGCGUGCACGAUGAAGGCCUUCGGGUCGUAAAGUGCUUUUUGAGGAGACGAGGAAGGACGGUAUCCUCAGAAUAAGGAUCGGCUAACUACGUGCCAGCAGCCGCGGUAAAACGUAGGAUCCGAGCGUUAUCCGAAUUCACUGGGCGUAAAGCGCGUGCAGGCGGUUCGGUAAGUUGGAUGUAAAAACUCCCGGCUCAACUGGGAGGGGACGUUCAAUACUGUUGGACUAGAGGACGGCAGAGGAAGGUGGAAUUCCCGGUGUAGUGGUGAAAUGCGUAGAUAUCGGGAGGAACACCAGUGGCGAAGGCGGCCUUCUGGGCCGUACCUGACGCUCAGACGCGAAAGCUAGGGGAGCGA
rnacentral:rRNA from 1 species